rnacentral:rRNA from 1 species
CAUACGGGGGGCAGCAGUGGGGAAUAUUGGACAAUGGGCGAAAGCCUGAUCCAGCCAUGCCGCGUGUGUGAAGAAGGCCUUCGGGUUGUAAAGCACUUUCAGUGGGGAAGAAAGCCUUGGGGCUAAUACCCUCGAGGAAGGACAUCACCCACAGAAGAAGCACCGGCUAACUCCGUGCCAGCAGCCGCGGUAAUACGGAGGGUGCGAGCGUUAAUCGGAAUUACUGGGCGUAAAGCGCGCGUAGGCGGUCUGAUAAGCCGGUUGUGAAAGCCCCGGGCUCAACCUGGGAACGGCAUCCGGAACUGUCAGGCUAGAGUGCAGGAGAGGAAGGUAGAAUUCCCGGUGUAGCGGUGAAAUGCGUAGAGAUCGGGAGGAAUACCAGUGGCGAAGGCGGCCUUCUGGACUGACACUGACGCUGAGGUGCGAAAGCGUGGGUAGCAAACAGGAUUAGAUACCCGAGUAGUC